UCUCUGGUAGUAUAUCGGUUAGUACACGCGCUUGUCAUUGCCCUCAGUGUCCGCGCGAAAGCGGGGUUCGACUCCCCGCCAGAGAG